rnacentral:rRNA from 1 species
GACGAACGCUGGCGGCGUGCUUAACACAUGCAAGUCGAACGGAAAGGCCCUGCUUUUGUGGGGUGCUCGAGUGGCGAACGGGUGCGUAACACGUGUGUAACCUGCCCUUGACUUUGGGAUAACUUCAGGAAACUGGGGCUACUACCGGAUAGGAGCUCCUGCUGCAUGGUGGGGGUUGGAUAUUUUCGGCGGGUGGGGAUGGACUCGCGGCUUAUCAGCUUGUUGGUGGGGUAGUGGCUUACCAAGGCUUUGACGGGUAGCCGGCCUGAGAGGGUGACCGGCCACAUUGGGACUGAGGUACGGCCCAGACGCCUACGGGAGGCAGCAGGGGGAAAUAUUGCACAAUGGGCGGAAGCCUGAUGCAGCAACGCCGCGUGCGGGAUGACGGCCUUCGGGGUGUAAACCGCUGUCGCCUGUGACGAAGCGGGAGUGACGGUAAUGGGUAAAGAAGCACCGGCUAACUACGUG